CCUACGGGAGGCAGCAGUAGGGAAUCUUCCGCAAUGGACGCAAGUCUGACGGAGCAACGCCGCGUGAGUGAAGAAGGAUUUCGGUUCGUAAAACUCUGUUGUUAGAGAAGAACAGCGCAUAGAGUAACUGUUAUGCGUGUGACGGUAUCUAACCAGAAAGCCACGGCUAACUACGUGCCAGCAGCCGCGGUAAUACGUAGGUGGCAAGCGUUGUCCGGAUUUAUUGGGCGUAAAGCGAGCGCAGGCGGUCAAUUAAGUCUGAUGUGAAAGCCCCCGGCUCAACCGGGGAGGGUCAUUGGAAACUGGUUGACUUGAGUGCAGAAGAGGAGAGUGGAAUUCCAUGUGUAGCGGUGAAAUGCGUAGAUAUAUGGAGGAACACCAGUGGCGAAGGCGACUCUCUGGUCUGUAACUGACGCUGAGGCUCGAAAGCGUGGGUAGCAAACAGGAUUAGAUACCCUUGUAGUC
rnacentral:rRNA from 1 species